UUAGGGAUAGCUCAGCUGGCAGAGCAUGAGAUUCUGAAUCUCAAGGUCAUGGGUUCGAGUCCCAUGUUGAUUCCUGCA